rfam:Triticum aestivum genome assembly, contig: Triticum_aestivum_CS42_TGACv1_scaffold_409063_5BL
CAUCUACUCCCUCCGUCCGGAAAUACUUGUCAUCAAAAUGAAUAAAAGGAGAUGUAUCUAGACGUAUAUUAGUUUUAGAUACAACUCUUUUUAUCAAUUUUGAUGACAAUUAUUUUCGGACGGAGGGAGUAUUUU